AGUUAGCCAGCUGAAGAGACCACCUGAAGAAGAUGAUUGCAAAGCAGCAGCACUUGAACUUGCAAAUCUUGCAGGCAACUUACUGAUUCUAUGGCCCUUGAAAGCCCUAACAUGUGAAGCUGCAGCUCUGUACAUGGCUGAUAAUUGUUUGUGAAACCCUAGAUUGUGCGGGAAGGACGCCCUGGUUUUAGACCGAGAUGAGAAGUCUUACGGUGUUUCUUUCUCUGCACUCAGUACUGGAGCUAGAGAGCUGUGAUUUUUUGACCUGUGGUACAGUGGACAUGAAAGAAUAACCAGGACCGCCCGAUUAUUGGUUCUCCGUCAUUGAAUUGUUU
rnacentral:misc_RNA from 1 species